AAAGGGCGCGUAGGCGGCCAUUCAAGUCAGAGGUGAAAGCCUGGAGCUCAACUCCAGAAUUGCCUUUGAUACUGUUUGGCUCGAGACCGGAAGAGGUUAGUGGAACUGCGAGUGUAGAGGUGAAAUUCGUAGAUAUUCGCAAGAACACCAGUGGCGAAGGCGGCUAACUGGUCCGGUUCUGACGCUGAGGCGCGAAAGCGUGGGGAGCAAACAGGAUUAGAUACCCCAGU
rnacentral:rRNA from 1 species